AACCAGCACCUCAAGUGGUCAGGAGGAUUAUUGGGCCUAAAGCAUCCGUAGCCGGCUCUGUAAGUUUUCGGUUAAAUCCAUGUGCUCAACGCAUGGGCUGCCGAAAAUACUGCAUAGCUAGGGAGUGGGAGAGGUAGACGGUACUCGGUAGGAAGGGGUAAAAUCCUUUGAUCUAUCGAUGACCACCUGUGGCGAAGGCGGUCUACCAGAACACGUUCGACGGUGAGGGAUGAAAGCUGGGGGAGCAAACCAG
rnacentral:rRNA from 1 species